UACGUAGGGUGCGAGCGUUAAUCGGAAUUACUGGGCGUAAAGCGUGCGCAGGCGGUUCGUUGUGUCGGUGGUGAAAUCCCCGGGCUUAACCUGGGAAUGGCCAUGGAAACUGACGAACUGGAGUGUGGCAGAGGGGGGUGGAAUUCCGCGUGUAGCAGUGAAAUGCGUAGAGAUCGAGAGGAACAUCCGUGGCGAAGGCGGCCAUCUGGACCAGCACUGACACUGAGGCACGAAAGCGUGGGGAGCAAACAGG
rnacentral:rRNA from 1 species